GGCGAAUAGAUCCACAGUGUUUGCGGAAUCGAAUGUAAUAUAACUUUAUGAUUUAUAUGAAAAAAAUAGUGGAUUGCAAAUCCGCCCACGCCGGUUCGAUUCCGGCUUCGGCCUCCA
rnacentral:tRNA from 1 species